CUCUGGCCUCAAAUCAGGUAGGAUUACCCGCUGAACUUAA
rnacentral:rRNA from 2 species